AUUAUCGACACCAAACUUAAUUCUUACUGUCUUAAUCUACACAGAGUCUGAUGCUAUUUCUCCUCUGUUUAGAACUAGAAAACACUGUUUUUCUGGUAGCAUUGGUACUACUGUUGAGCAAGUUAAAAGUCAUAAUAUUACAAUAUUAUAUUACCUCUGUUUGGUAGCGAUCAAUAAUCAUUACAAUUCAUACACUUACAAUCUUACAUGAAAUUGAAUGACAGUUGUUAUAACACGGGUGUUUCCUUUCUUACACCUGGUGUCCACUUUUAAAUUAAAGCAACUUAUCUUUUUUGGCUAAAACAACACCAGGUUACAAUGAGUUCAUUGCAAUUAAACAUACUUCUACUUGUGUUACAUCUGUGACUUAUAUAAACAAAGUCUUUCAAGUGCAAUGGUUGCUUAUUCAGCAUUUCAUUUUAUUAAAAUCAACAUUUCAUCUGCCAUGCAGCAAUUAUUUUGUAAGGGUCAGAUUGGUUUAAAUAUCUUUUAUUUUAUUUAAUAACUUGAAAAUAUAUUAUUCCAAUUCCGACUGGUUGUAUCUUAAUAAUAGCAGUAAGGUGUAUAUAACCAAUGAUCCAUCCAUCCAUGAAAAGUUUGUUUCCCUCAUAGUAUUGAAUGUAUCACGAUCUGGAUAUUUUGAUUUGGUCACCUUAGCUUGCUUAUUCUAUUGUCAGUUGGUGGGUAAACAUAAUAGAGUUAGUUGAAUAGGUUGGGAAUGUCAUUCAAAUUUCAAACCGGUAAAAUUCAAAAUCGUAAAUACAGUAGGGCGGGGUAAGAUGGGACAUGUUUUCAUUCUAGUUUAAUGUCCCAUUUGGUGGUAAACAAAGAAUAUUUACAAAUUUCUAUUACUGAUUCUCACGACUGUAAAAGAUCGUUGUUAAUUGUAUAAACACCAUUAGAAAAUAUGGAGUUUAGGUGCUAACGGUAUCUAUCUUACUCCACUGUGCUAUGUCUAAAUUUAAGAAACUGAAGUUAUUCUUGGCUGCACGAUUGUAAUUUUAUUGUGAUAUAAAGUGUUGAAUGUAUUACGUCAUUUCUCAGCUAUUUAAUCUGAUUAUUUUCAGAUGAGCUUAACUUGGUCAA